UUUUCUAAUUCCCAAAGCGAUCAGAACCUGUCGAGAUUCGAAAGUAACAUCACAGAAUUCAGUGAAUUAUUGAGCAAUGAAUCUUAUCAUCAUUUCGCUUAGGGAUUAGCUUGGAUUGGGGCAAGUAUGAAUAAUAUGUCUUGUUUGAUGAAGUCUCUGAAUCAAACUAGGAUCAGAAAUUCGAAAGAACAAAAAUCAAAUGUUAGAACAAUCUUAAGAAAGGAAAAUCAUUCCUUUCCAUCAGGAUCGAUUCAAGAGGAAAUGGAAAUGUGAAGAAAUAAAUUCCAACACAGUUCCCCUCGUAUAUUUGUUAUAUGCCCUUGUCUGAACCGAAUGUGGUCUCAAAUUUCCACAUCCAGUUAUUCGAAGGCAAAUCAAAAUAAAAAUUAAGCUAAAACCCCAAGCAAAAAGAAAUAAAUCGGAACAUGGAAGUUCAAGGUAAGCGUACUAGAUGUAUCAGAGCUGAUUGAAGGGCUAGAUUGAAAAACAAUUAAAAUUUUCUAUCAAGUCCAAAAUCAAAAAGCUCUGAAAAAAAAUCAAUUUCUAAGAACUAGAAAAAGACUGAAUCAAUUUAUGCCUCAUCACUAAACCAGAUAUGAAACUGAAACUUGGAAGAAAAAAAUCUCCCUGAAACUCAUACGGCUACUCUGAGAGGCAUUAAUAUAAUGGAACUCCCAAGUAACCCUAAACAAAUAACAACUAAACAAGAAGCAGGAUGCAAGUUCAACUAACAGUUGAGGAAUCGGCAGUCGAAGCAGUGAUGGGACUUUUAGGUUGCUGUAGGCUUUUCUUUUAUGGGAGAAACUGGAGGCUGAAUUAGGGUUUUGUAAUCGUUUUCACCAAAUUGACGGAUUUACCCUUUCGGAUCUUAUUUUCUCUUUUUGGGCGGUGCUGUCCCAUAACAGUCUUUGAUGGCAAACAAGUCAGUUCAGUGAGGCAAGCAGUUGGGAAUGGACAUCCCAUUCCAACCGAGAGGCCGGAGAGGUUUCCCACGUCCUUUCUGGUAGGCAAGUAAUUAUAUAUAUUCAUCCGAUUCACUAACAUUUGCGAGAAUCCUCUGAUAUGCUAAGUCCAUUUUAAGUUAGUUCGCAGUAACGGCCAUACUUUAGUUUGUUGCACAUCCUUUGUUCGACGAAAUUCCCGGAAGAACUGAAUUCAUUACUAUGUCACAACGGAUUUGAGUUCGCGGAGGUUUUCAGAAAUAGGAGUUGUUAAAGUAUGUUUACUGGUUUGCAUAAAAGGGUAUUGAAAGGAUUCUUUGAGUUUGUCAAAGAAAUGUUGCCAUGUUGGGGAUGAAUAUGACCUUGUUGCUUUUUAUUGACUAGUGUGAUCACUGCAUGUAUGGAACUUGAAAAUGCAAUGGAGAAAAUUGCAUUGCUUCAUGUUCAUAUGAUAGAUCUUGGGUUUGAGCACUAUAGCUCUGUGAUAAGUUCUCUAGUUUCAAAUCAACGUUUUAUAAGGACUGCACUUUGACAAUAUAUAUUUGAAGCGUGGCAGCAUUGAUUACGCUCGUGAAAUUUGUGAUGAGAAGAUUGAGAAGAUUAAUGUUUUAGGGACAUCUGGUGACAGCUUACGAGGGAGGAAGAUGGGGUUGAACUAUUUGAGAAAUUUGUGAAAAAGAGGAUCUGAAAUCUGAUCAUGUAUGCUUUACAGCUGUUUUAACAGCUCGCAACCAUAGAGGCUUCUUGGAUUAAGGGAUAUGAUAUUUUAACAAAAUGAAAAAAAAAAAGUGGUUUGGUCCCUGAACUACAUCAGUUGGCAUGCAUGAUUGAUCUUUAUGAGCGAACUGGGCGUCUUAGAAAAGCAAAGGAGUCAAUUUAAACAAUGCCUUGUGCUCGAAGUGUUAGUAUGUGCAUCACCAUGGGCCCUUGGAGGGUUCAUUAAUGAAGCAGAACUUGGGAGGGAAGAAGCACAUCACCUUUUUAUGCUGGAGGUCAAGAAUGUGAAUACAUAGCACUCUCGAGCAUUAUGCACAAGCAGGUGUGCUGGAAGAAGUAACAGAGGUUAGACAUUUGAUGAGAGAGAAGGGAAAUAAAAAUAUCUGCCUGUGAGGUUGUCUAGAGUCAGAACACAAAAAUACAUGGUUUCUCAAUAAAUGAUCCAUCUCAACCUUGGGCACCAGAAAUCUGCGGAAUUAGCACGCUUGUAUUUUGAAAUAAUGUGUUAGUGUACUGGAACAUGUUUCUUAAUGAUGUAAACUUGUUGCACAGAAAGCAUUAAGAUUCAAGACUUGAUCUAAAUUAGAUUGGUGGAGUACGAAAGCCUCUGCAGAGCCAAUGCACUCAUUCAAGUAGACUGCAACGGAGAAGAGUGACAUGUUGCUCAUUGGUGAUAUAGCUUGAGAAGGUAGAGUCAUUUUACGGCAUAGAGUUCAUGUUGCAGAAUCUAAUAUGGCAUCACAACAUAGCUGAUGGCAUUCAUGACAACAGCGCAAGUAAAAAAGUUGUUCCGGUUAGAAGCUGCAAAAGGGUAAAGUUUUCUCAGGAAAUUCGGGUUGGAAACUUGAAUUACAAGAAAUGGAUAUCAAAUAAACAUGUUACAGAAUUACAAAAAAUGGAUAUCAAAAAUAAACAUGUUACAGAUUUUGACGUUGCACCAGGACUAAUGUGUGUAUGGUACAUAAUGUGAUAACAACCUUCACCAACUUUACCAUGGAUUCUGCGUUUAAUACAUUUUUUAUUUUCUUGUUUCA